rnacentral:misc_RNA from 1 species
GCCAAAUUCAUAAUCUGAGCCCGAUUAAUGAAUGGGAUGUGUGGGUGAUAAGGGGCUCACUUUUACUAUAUCACGGGAUGAUGUAAUUUCACUGAUUGCUUGGAGGAAAAAAUGAUUAGGUUUAUGAAAAGAACAAUAUAAUUCAGAAACUUGAAUAAUUUGUAACAUAUUAUACGUAUCAUUUAUAUUGCAUGCUAUACUUAUAUGAGAAGCUUGGAUGGCCUACAAAUAUGUCAUGAGUUACGUAAUCCGUAUAUUUUGAUUUUAUUGGUUCUAAUAUCGGUCAGUUUCUGCAAAUACACUUCCUUGUGGAAACAGUUAUGUUAUUUUGUGCAGCACAAGUCGUUUAAUCCUAUGUCUUGGCAUUGCUAAUGGAAGGCUGUUGAAGCAGUAGGGAAAGAGUUUUUAGCAUUGCACAUGAGAGAUUUGGCAUGCUUUGCUGUAGAUUUCAUAUUGAAACUCGGAAUUUCAAACAAAAUCAAAGGGUCCUAGGACUAAAGCAUUUCUUCGAGUCCUAAAAUAUUCCACUGGAGGAGUCCUUGAGCCUGCAAAGUUAUACAAGCUGAAGCAUCUUUCAAAGGUGGAGGUUAUAACUAAUGAUCCUAGUGGAU